rnacentral:rRNA from 1 species
UACGGGGGUGGCAAGCGUUGUUCGGAAUUACUGGGCGUAAAGGGCGCGUAGGCGGCUUUGCAAGUGACGGGUGAAAUCCCUCGGCUUAACCGAGGAACUGCCUGUCAGACUGCAUUGCUUGAGUCCGGGAGAGGUGAGUGGAAUUCCCAGUGUAGCGGUGAAAUGCGUAGAGAUCGGAAAGAACACCAACGGCGAAAGCACUCUGCUGGGCCGACACUGACACUGAGAGACGAAAGCUAGGGGAGCGAAUGGG